rnacentral:rRNA from 1 species
CUUGGUCAUUUAGAGGAAGUAAAAGUCGUAACAAGGUUUCCGUAGGUGAACCUGCGGAAGGAUCAUUAUUGAAUACGUUUGGUUCUGAUGCUGGCUCUUCACUGAGCAUGUGCUCGAUCCAUAACUAUUUAUCUUCUCUUGUGCACCUUUUGUAGUCUUUCAGAGGCAGUGAUAACUCUCGCAGCAAUGCGGUUUGGGGGACCUGGGCGUGAGCCCUUCCCCUGCUUUUGCUUCUUUGAAGGGCUAUGUUUUCAUAUACACUAUAAAGUUACAGAAUGUCUUUUAAAGAUUGUGCUAGUCGCAGUCAUUAAACCUAUACAACUUUCAGCAACGGAUCUCUUGGCUCUCCCAUCGAUGAAGAACGCAGCGAAAUGCGAUAAGUAAUGUGAAUUGCAGAAUUCAGUGAAUCAUCGAAUCUUUGAACGCACCUUGCGCUCCAUGGUAUUCCGUGGAGCAUGCCUGUUUGAGUGUCAUGAAAACAAUCAACCUUGACUUUGGUUUUACCGCCAUUGACUCGGCUUGGACUUGGGCGCUUGCCAUCUUCACGGAUGGCUCGCCUUAAAUGAAUUAGCUGGACUUGUUCUUGAUGGACUGGUUUGACUUGGCGUAAUAAGUAUUUCGCUGAGGACAUCUUCGGAUGGCCAACCUUCUGGACGACUGUCUGCUUUCCAACCCUUUGUUCUCCUCGGAGACAUGACUAUUUUAUUAUCUGGCCUCAAAUCAGGUAGGACUACCCGCUGAACUUAAGCAUAUCAAUAAGCGGAGGAAAAGAAACUNACAAGGAUUCCCCUAGUAACGGCGAGUGAAGCGGGAAGAGCUCAAAUUUGAAAUCUGGUGGCCUCAGGUCAUCCGAGUUGUAAUCUAUAGAAGCGUUUUCCGCGCUGGCUCAUGUACAAGUCCCUUGGAACAGGGCGUCAUAGAGGGUGAGAAUCCCGUCCUUGACAUGAACCACCAGUGCUUUGUGAUACGUUUUCAACGAGUCGAGUUGUUUGGGAAUGCAGCUCAAAAUGGGUGGUAAAUUCCAUCUAAAGCUAAAUAUUGGCGAGAGACCGAUAGCGAACAAGUACCGUGAGGGAAAGAUGAAAAGCACUUUGGAAAGAGAGUUAAACAGUAUGUGAAAUUGUUGAAAGGGAAACGCUUGAAGU